AGAAACCCUAGUGCAUCGUGGUUGAGAGGAGCUAACGAUAAGCAAUAUUAAUCGAUGGAGCGUGAUGAGGAUGAUUCUAAAUUUUCAGAUUUUAAUGAUCGGAAAUCAAUACUUACCUCCUACUCAUUCUGAGCGCUCGCUUAGAGAAAAUUCGAUUUUCUCUGUGUUGUAGUGUUUUAAGCUUUAAUUUCGGCACUGAAGAGUUUAUUUUGCAACUUGGCACAUUGAGGAAUUAUGUCUGAACUAAUGUGCCGAGUUCGACAGAUCUGUGAGGUUUGUUAGUUAGAUAAAGUCCUUUUCAUUCUGAGUGCCGCUUGUGUUAUUGGCCUGUUUGGGACUUAUACGUCACUCCUUUUGGCUUGCUUCCUUUUGAUGCCCUAGGGAUGAACGAGUCCCUGAUAUUCUUCCAUCCUAUUUUCUUUUUCACUUGGUCAGACGAUUAUGUUGAUCAUCUUUUAGGGAUGGGAAAUUAUUUUCUGUUUCUUUUAUUCUUUUUAUCUAGGGUUGCUGGAAGCCUUAUUUUUUCUUCUUUUAUCUUGAAUUCAUGGCCGAUGAUGACAAAUGGAAAGGCUUGUUUCUCAAAACAUUCGCAGUGGCCGCCUGAGAGCUUUCGCCUUCGCCGGGCUUGAGAGCUUCUGCUGUUUCAAUCCUUCCUUGGAUGUCUGAGGCUUAA